AACGCGAAGAACCUUACCAGGUCUUGACAUCCGACUAACGAAGUAGAGAUACAUUAGGUGCCCUUCGGGGAAAGUAGAGACAGGUGGUGCAUGGUUGUCGUCAGCUCGUGUCGUGAGAUGUUGGGUUAAGUCCCGCAACGAGCGCAACCCCUAUUGUUAGUUGCUACGCAAGAGCACUCUAGCGAGACUGCCGUUGACAAAACGGAGGAAGGCGGGGACGACGUCAAAUCAUCAUGCCCCUUAUGUCCCGGGCUACACACGUAAUACAAUGGCGGUCAACAGAGGGAAGCAAAGCCGCGAGGCAGAGCAAACCCCUAAAAGCCGUCUCAGUUCGGAUUGCAGGCUGCAACUCGCCUGCAUGAAGUUGGAAUUGCUAGUAAUCGUGGAUCAGCAUGCCACGGUGAAUACGUUCCCGGGUCUUGUACACACGC
rnacentral:rRNA from 1 species